rnacentral:rRNA from 1 species
UACGUAGGGUGCAAGCGUCAAUCGGAAUUACUGGGCGUAAAGCGUGCGCAGGCGGUUCGGAAAGAAAGAUGUGAAAUCCCAGGGCUUAACCUUGGAAUGGCAUUCUUAACUACCGGGCUAGAGUAUGUCAGAGGGGGGUAGAAUUCCACGUGUAGCAGUGAAAUGCGUAGAGAUGUGGAGGAAUACCGAUGGCGAAGGCAGCCCCCUGGGAUAAUACUGACGCUCAUGCACGAAAGCGUGGGGAGCAAACAGG